rnacentral:rRNA from 1 species
AGUGAACGCUGGCGGUAGGCCUAACACAUGCAAGUCGAACGGCAGCACAGUAAGAGCUUGCUCUUACGGGUGGCGAGUGGCGGACGGGUGAGGAAUACAUCGGAAUCUACUUUUUCGUGGGGGAUAACGUAGGGAAACUUACGCUAAUACCGCAUACGACCUACGGAUGAAAGCAGGGGAUCUUCGGACCUUGCGCGAUUGAAUGAGCCGAUGUCGGAUUAGCUAGUUGGCGGGGUAAAGGCCCACCAAGGCGACGAUCCGUAGCUGGUCUGAGAGGAUGAUCAGCCACACUGGAACUGAGACACGGUCCAGACUCCUACGGGAGGCAGCAGUGGGGAAUAUUGGACAAUGGGCGCAAGCCUGAUCCAGCCAUACCGCGUGGGUGAAGAAGGCCUUCGGGUUGUAAAGCCCUUUUGCUGGGAAAGAAAAGCAGCAGGUUAAUACCCCGCUGUUCUGACGGUACCCAAAGAAUAAGCACCGGCUAACUUCGUG